GACGAACGCUGGCGGCGUGCUUAACACAUGCAAGUCGAACGGAAAGGCCCUGCUUUUGUGGGGUGCUCGAGUGGCGAACGGGUGAGUAACACGUGAGUAACCUGCCCUUGACUUUGGGAUAACUUCAGGAAACUGGGGCUAAUACCGGAUAGGAGCUCCUGCUGCAUGGUGGGGGUUGGAAAGUUUCGGCGGUUGGGGAUGGACUCGCGGCUUAUCAGCUUGUUGGUGGGGUAGUGGCUUACCAAGGCUUUGACGGGUAGCCGGCCUGAGAGGGUGACCGGCCACAUUGGGACUGAGAUACGGCCCAGACUCCUACGCGAGGCAGCAGUGUGGAAUAUUGCACAAUGGGCGGAAGCCUGAUGCAGCAACGCCGCGUGCGGGAUGACGGCCUUCGGGUUGUAAACCGCUUUCGCCUGUGACGAAGCGUGAGUGACGGUAAUGGGUAAAGAAGCACCGGCUAACUACGUG
rnacentral:rRNA from 1 species